rnacentral:sRNA from 2 species
AUUUAGCCCAGAUUGUAGUGGAAAACAUUUUGAAAUACAAUUGUAUUUUUUCUUGGCAAAAAACAACGACCAAAGGAAGUUCGUUUUUUGACUUAGAAAAAAAUAAUUGUAUGAGAAAUUUUGUAACGAAAAGCUGGAAAUAGC